GCCACCAGAGCCAGAACGCCAACUACAGCAAAGACCAGGAGAAACUGGGACAGCUGCACAAAGCCGAGGUGGAUUCUCUGACGGAGCGGGUGGAGGAGCUCAAACAGGACAAAAAGAGGCUGGUGGAGGAGUACGAAGCCAAACUCAGCAAGGCCCAGGCCUUCUAG